UACGUAGGGUGCAAGCGUUGUCCGGAAUUAUUGGGCGUAAAGAGCUCGUAGGCGGUUUGUCGCGUCGGUCGUGAAAACUUGGGGCUUAACCCUGAGCUUGCGGUCGAUACGGGCAUGACUGGAGUUCGGCAGGGGAGACUGGAAUUCCUGGUGUAGCGGUGAAAUGCGCAGAUAUCAGGAGGAACACCGGUGGCGAAGGCGGGUCUCUGGGCCGAUACUGACGCUGAGGAGCGAAAGCGUGGGGAGCGAACAGG
rnacentral:rRNA from 1 species